rnacentral:rRNA from 1 species
AAUUAAAGAUAUAAAAAAAAAUAAAUUGAUUAAUUAUUUAAUAAAAAAAAAAUUAUUAUUAAUUAUUAUUGUUGAAGUUUUUUAUUUUAAAAUAAUUAUUUUAUUAAUAAAUUUAGUAAUGUGAAUGAAUUAUUUAAAAUAUAAAAAAGAUUAAAAUUUUUAGUACCUUUUGUAUCAGGGUUGAUUAAAUAAAUUUUAAUAAAUUUAAAUUUCUCGAAAAUAAAAGAUCUAAUUUUAUAAUAUUUUUUAUGUAGAAUUAUAAUUAUAAAUAUAAUUUUAGAGGUGAAAAAUCAUUCGGUUUUAUUGAUAUCUAGUUUUUUUUGAAAUAAAUUUAAUUUAGAUAAUAAUUAUGAUUUUAUUUUUUAUAUAAAAUAUAAAAUUAGAUUGUUAUUACUAAUUUUAGGGUAAGCUUAAAAUUAAAAUUAUUAUUUAAUUUUUAAAUAUUUAGGAUUGGAAAAAUAAUUCUUAUAUUGAAUAUUUUUGGAAAUAAUUUAAUAAUUUAUUGUUCCUAGGAUUAAAAAAUUUAGAUUAAAAAUAUAAUUAUUAAAAAAAAAAAUAUUUAAAUAAAAUUUAUAUUGUUAUAAUGAUUAAAUAAGUAAAUUUAAAUAUGUAAAAUAUUUAUAAAUAAAAUAAAAAUAUAUUUAUAAGGAAUUCGGCAAAUUAUUAUAUUCACCUGUUUAUCAAAAACAUGUCUUUUUGAUUAUAAUCUAAGGUCGGCUCUGCUCAGUGACGUUGAGUUAAAUGGCUGCAGUAUUUUAACUGUACGAAGGUAGCAUAAUCAGUUGUCUAUUUAUUGUGGGCUGGAAUGAAUGAGUUGAUGAAAUAUAAACUGUCUUAUUUAUAUUUAUUAAAAUUUAAUUUUAAGUUAAAAUUCUUAAAUUUUUUUUAGGGACGAUAAGACCCUGUAGAAUUUUAUAUAAUUACUUUUUUAUUUUAAUUAAUUAAAUUAAUGAAUAAUUAUAUUUGGUUGGGAGGACUAUUAAAUUUAUUAAACUUUAAUAUUAUUUACAUAAAUAAGUGAAUAUAUAUAUAUAUAUAUAUAUGAGAUAUAAUUAGUUAUAAUAGAUAAAAUUACCUCAGGGAUAACAGCGUGAUGUUUUUUGAGAGAUCUUAUCGAUAAAAACGAUUACGACCUCGAUGUUGAAUUAAGAUAAAUUUUAGGCGCAGAAGUUUUAUAAUUGAGUCUGUUCGACUUAUAGAAUCUUACAUGAUUUGAGUUCAGAUCGACGUGAGUCAGAUUGGUUUCUAUCUUAAAAAAAAUAUAAUGAUUUUGUACGAAAGGACUUUUUGUUUUAAAUUUAUUUUAUUAAUUUGUACUUAAUAUAUGU